rnacentral:lncRNA from 10 species
UCUUUAUGAGCAGGGCUGAAUGGUCAGGAUUCAGUUCAGUUCAGGGCACCACCACUACAGAACACCCAUUCUGUCAGGCAUUGUGCCAGCUGCUGAGAGAGUGCACAGUGAGGAAUAAGAAGCUGACUGUUCUCAAGGAGUUCAUGCCUGGUGGGGAAAGACAAACAACACAGAAUAAUUUUCAUGACAAUUAGAAGAUAGACAGAGACUGAACAUCACUGGAGGCAAAUAAAUUGCUUAGAAGACUUUGAAAAAAAAGUCCAAAUGAGAGAUGAAGAGCACCCAAACCAAGAAACUGGCAGUGCUCAUGGAGAGCAAGAGGAUGUGAUACAGAGAUCCACAUUAGGUGUCUCCUCAUCAGAGAUUACUAAUCUUAUAGUCCUUAAUCAUCUCUCAAACUUCAGCUUAAAUCUCAGUUUCCAAAGAAGGUGCAUGAUACCACUGUGAACACAAAACCAUGACUUCAAUUGAGAACAGGAGAAAAAUCCCCCUUCCAUUCCAAGACUUCAUGUGUGAAUAAGACAAAGACUUUGUACUCUUUGCUGAUUUUUUGACAAUAGUUAUACACAACUGUGACUCUUGCC